UGGCUUUGUGAAGGGGUGGAGCAAGCUCCAGACAGCCUUUAGUAGAUGGGCAGAGAGAGAGAGAGAGAGAGAGAAAUAGGCGAUGAAUGGAGACCCAGGGAAAGAGGGCUUCCCAGGCAUGAAUGAGGCCAUACUAGGAUUUACAUAUCAAGACCAAUUCUGUUGCAUGUUGGUAAAAGUAUCAGCAGCGACAUUCCAUUGCUUACUAUAGUUAUAACAUUGUAUACAUAAACGCCAUUAUACUGUUUUUCAGUAGAGCUAUGCCGUAUUUCUUGUAUUGUGAUACAUAGGAAUACAAAACAUAAGGCUGUAAGCUGCACAUUCUCAGGAAAGAGGGCUAAUUGUGUGGCCUGUCUAUAUUGCCAGUUCAUGUGGCGUGACAGGAAUCACAUCCAAUUUUAUGAAGCCAUAAUGGACAUCUAGAGAUCAAGAUGAUUUAUUCAUUAAACCACAUAUUGACCCAGGAUAUGAUCCUUCUGGGCUUAUCACUAUAAUUAACACUGAUUUGCUUCGGUUUUUGCAAAAUGAUAAAAUAUACUGUGUGCCCCAACAUAUUACUCUGUUUCAAUGGAAACUAAUAACUUGAUCAGGUGAGUUUGCGUCAAGACGGAGGUACUUGAUGUAUAAUAUAUUUACACCAUGUGUCUUACAUGAUAUAUGGUAUACAUCUUAUAACCUAAGUUUAUGGUGGAUUUUGGUUUAAUGGGAUGCAUCUCCCCCACUGUUUUAUUCCACAAAGUAAUUCAACAUAAACUUUGUGCUUCAUAUGUUAAAUAGAAUAAAUUUUAGAAAAGGUAUUUUAUAUAUGAUUGUGCCUGGGUUUGUUUCAAAGAGCUCUUCAUAUAAUUGGUUUUCAGUAUAUAUAAAACACAGGUGACAGCAGCAGCAUGCACUGCUAUGUCUUGCAUGCUGCUAAUCAAAGAUAUAUUACCAGGUUUCAUAAUGUUCCAUCAGUGUCUCUCCGAGUGAAGGAAUGUAUUCUACAAUGCAUGUAAAAAUGCCUCCAAAACAUUUAGAUUUGGCUGCCAAAUUGUAAUAAGAUUAUAUAUAUAUAUGAAAAUAUUCUCUGCCUUGACAAUCAUAUAUACACAUGGUUAUGUCUGUCAUGAUAAGCUAACGGGAUGCCUGAUUGUUUUAUUCAAAUAAAUCCAGUUUAAUCACCUCAAUAUGAAA